UACGGGGGGGGCAAGCGUUGUUCGGAAUUACUGGGCGUAAAGGGCUCGUAGGCGGCCAACUAAGUCAGACGUGAAAUCCCUCGGCUUAACCGGGGAACUGCGUCUGAUACUGGAUGGCUUAGUUUGGGAGAGGGAUGCGGAAUUCCAGGUGUAGCGGUGAAAUGCGUAGAUAUCUGGAGGAACACCGGUGGCGAAGGCGGCAUCCUGGACCAACACUGACGCUGAGUGAGCGAAAGCCAGGGGAGCAAACGGG
rnacentral:rRNA from 1 species